rnacentral:rRNA from 1 species
AGAACGAACGCUGGCGGCAGGCCUAAUACAUGCAAGUCGAACGCACUCUUCGGAGUGAGUGGCAGACGGGUGAGUAACGCGUGGGAACCUUCCCAAUGGUACGGAAUAACUCCGGGAAACCGGUGCUAAUACCGUAUAAGCCCCUCGGGGGAAAGAUUUAUCGCCAUUGGAUGGGCCCGCGUCGGAUUAGCUAGUUGGUAAGGUAAUGGCUUACCAAGGCUACGAUCCGUAGCUGGUCUGAGAGGAUGAUCAGCCACACUGGGACUGAGACACGGCCCAGACUCCUACGGGAGGCAGCAGUAGGGAAUCUUGGACAAUGGGCGAAAGCCUGAUCCAGCCAUGCCGCGUGAGUGAAGAAAGGCCUUAGGGUUGUAAAAGCUCUUUUGGCGGGACGAUAAUGACGGUACCGCAGAAUAAAGCCCGGCUAACUUCGUGCCAGCAAGCCGC